rnacentral:rRNA from 1 species
UACAGAGGGUGCAAGCGUUAAUCGGAAUUACUGGGCGUAAAGCGUGCGUAGACGGUUACAUAAGUCGGGUGUGAAAGCCCCGGGCUCAACCUGGGAAUUGCAUUCGAGACUGCGUAGCUAGGGUGCGGAAGAGGGAAGCGGAAUUUCCGGUGUAGCGGUGAAAUGCGUAGAUAUGCGGAGGAACACCGAUGGCGAAGGCAAUCCCCUGGGCCUGCACUGACGCUCAUGCACGAAAGCGUGGGGAGCAAACAGG